GACGAACGCCGGCGGCGUGCUUAACACAUGCAAGUCGAACGGUAAGGCCCUUCGGGGUACACGAGUGGCGAACGGGUGAGUAACACGUGGGUGAUCUGCCCUGCACUUCGGGAUAAGCCUGGGAAACUGGGUCUAAUACCGGAUAGGACCACUGCCUGCAUGGGUGGUGGUGGAAAGCUUUUGCGGUGUGGGAUGGGCCCGCGGCCUAUCAGCUUGUUGGUGGGGUGAUGGCCUACCAAGGCGACGACGGGUAGCCGGCCGGAGAGGGUGACCGGCCACACUGGGACUGGGAUACGGCCCAGACUCCUACGGGAGGCAGCAGUGGGGAAUAUUGCUCAAUGGGCGCAAGCCUGAUGCAGCGACGCCGCGUGAGGGAUGACGGCCUUCGGGUUGUAAACCUCUUUCAGCACCGACGAAGCGCAAGUGACGGUAGGUGCAGAAGAAGGACCGGCCAACUACGUGCCAGCCGCCGCGGUAA
rnacentral:rRNA from 1 species